CUUCCUCAAGAGACUACUUGCGUGGCAGCAGAAAGCUGGGAAAAUGCUUCUUCCUCAUGAUUUUUCACUUGUUGAUACUUUCUGUAGGGUUCCUGUCCAAAAGGAGGACUCAGGAAUCAAGGCAGCUGAAGAUUGCGGUGCUGUAAGGGAUGUCAAGGACAAAACCUGUACAUCUGUGGAAUGGUGCGGGGCAAGGCGGGAAACGGAAAGCCUCCGCAGAAGCUGAUGCCAGUGGCCUUCCUCUGAAGCGCAGCCAUGUGC